CAGUCGCCACGGUAAAACGGAGGGUGCAAGCGUUAAUCGGAAUUACUGGGCGUAAAGCGCACGCAGGCGGUCUGACAAGUCAGAUGUGAAAUCCCCGGGCUUAACCUGGGAACUGCAUUUGAAACUGUCAGGCUGGAGUCUUGUAGAGGGGGGUAGAAUUCCAGGUGUAGCGGUGAAAUGCGUAGAGAUCUGGAGGAAUACCGGUGGCGAAGGCGGCCCCCUGGACAAAGACUGACGCUCAGGUGCGAAAGCGUGGGGAGCAAACAGGAUUAGAUACCCGUGUAGUCCCUGUCUCUUAUAC
rnacentral:rRNA from 1 species